UUCUGAUUUGUCAUCAAGAAGAAGGAAUUUCAUGCCACCGUGGCAGCCAUGCUACAUAGUUACCGAGUUAGUAUAACCAUUAUGAUUUGUAAUAGAGCAGAUCCAAAGUCGAUUUGACUGACUACUCCGUAGUCCGUACUGCCCAAUCAUAUGAUUAACGUAGUUAGUUAACUAAGUUAAUUAGUCACCUACGUUCAUAACGACGAUUCAUGUCCUAUUACGGAGUUC
rnacentral:lncRNA from 1 species